rnacentral:rRNA from 1 species
GACGAACGCUGGCGGCGUGCUUAACACAUGCAAGUCGAACGGAAAGGCCCUGCUUUUGUGGGGGGCUCGAGUGGCGAAAGGGUGAGUAACAAGUGAGUAACCUGCCCUUGACUUUGGGAUAACUUCAGGAAACUGGGGCUAAUACCGGAUAGGAGCUCCUGCUGCAUGGUGGGGGUUGGAAAGUUUCGGCGGUUGGGGAUGGACUCGCGGCUUAUCAGCUUGUUGGUGGGGUAGUGGCUUACCAAGGCUUUGACGGGUAGCCGGCCUGAGAGGGUGACCGGCCACAUUGGGACUGAGAUACGGCCCAGACUCCUACGGGAGGCAGCAGUGGGGAAUAUUGCACAAUGGGCGGAAGCCUGAUGCAGCAACGCCGCGUGCGGGAUGACGGCCUUCGGGUUGUAAACCGCUUUCGCCUGUGACGAAGCGUGAGUGACGGUAAUGGGUAAAGAAGCACCGGCUAACUACGUG